rnacentral:tRNA from 1 species
UGGGGUUAGCUCAGUGGUAGAGCGCUUGCCUUGUAUGUGUGAGGCCCUGGGUUCGAUCCUCAGCACCACAU